CGCAGGAGCAGCCCAAGAAAUGGCAAAAAGACAAAAAAAAUAAAAUAACAAGUGUAACACCAUCCUCAAGAUCAGCCAAGUGCCUGUGAUCCCAAAGGAGACUGCAAGAAGCAGUAUUACAAAGAGCCUAAGCUCCUCAAAUACUCCAUUCAGCCUCAUCUCUAAGACAAUAGUUGUAUGUGACAAGGACUGCUGUCCACACUGCACAGCCCACACACCAGGCGUGAAGACCAUUCCAACAGCAUCAUCCUAAUCCAUGAAGAGAACUGGAAAUGAAGGACUUGUGGAGAUGAGAGCAAAGAAAGCAAACAUGGUAACAGUGACUGCAUCCUGUCAAAAAGACAUCCAGAGUGUUACCAUCAUGAUCACAUCAGCAGGCUGGAGGUCUCACCCUGUAUGUUAUUCCCCACAUUGCCCUGAUGGUGCGUCUUAAAUGGAAGUUCACUACCCAGACCUCACGUGGCCUUGCAGAUGGAAUCUGCAGUCUCCUUACUGAUGGCAGCCCUGACAACAGUGCAUAUCAGAGCAAGCAGCUCCUGGUGUUUGCACCGGGCCUUUCAGGUGGCUCCCAGUCACUGCCCCACCACCCAUCUCUGCAUCAGCUCAUUCUCCCCCAUUUUCCCAUUUGUUCUCACCAUGAUGGAAAACACGGCACAAGGCACAGGAGCAGUUAGGGAUAGGGUCUGGAUUUAGGAAGGAAAUGAGGGUGGAAAAGAGAUCAUGGGCUCAAAAGCAGUUCAGAAAUGUUUGGAAACAUUUCUAUUUGGUAGAACUAACAAAAUAAAUCCAAUCUAUGUCCUCUAACAAAUGCAUCCCCAGUCCUUGUUCUUCAAAAUUUAAAAGCACAACCUUGGAGUUUUCACUGUGGCACCAACGGUGGUGUCUCUGCAAUGCCAGGACCCAGGUUCCAACCCCGGCCAGAUACAGUGAGUUAAAUGACCCAUAACUGUGGCUCAGAUCUGAUCCCCGGCUAGGGAACUCCAUAUGCCAAAUGACAGCCAAAGAAGAAAAGAAAAAAAUAAAAGCACAAACUUUACUUCCUUUGUCCCUUACACUGGACUAUUCUUCAUCAUCAGUUUUCACUCUGGACUCGCUCAGAGGAAUGGGACUUGGACAAUCCACAGGCACCUUAGUUUGGGAAGCACUGCUCCAGGACAGUACUUCUCAAACUGUGGUCUUUGGACCACCAGCAAGAACUUCUUAAAAAUGACAAUUUUCAGGCCACAGCCCCAAACUGAAUCCCAAACUCUGGGGAUGGUGCCCAGCAGUCUGUGUUUUCACAAGACCUGGGGUGAUUGUGAUUCUACCUAAAAACUUUUGAGAACCACAGGUGGGAAAGGUAACUGACAUCCCUAAAAUGACCUACUGGGGGACGGUGGUAGGUUGAGGAAAUCAGAGAGUACUAAGCCGAGAAACUCAAAGAAAACAUGCUACUUAAAACCUCCAAAAGGCUUUCGGUUAUUCUCUACCACUUUAAACAAAACUCAUCACUUCUUUUGGUCUUAUUUUUCAGCUGCUGUCACAGGUCAUAUCAGCUGAAAAACAGCAAAAGCUGCAUGAGAGCCAGGAGCCCCAGAUUUUCCUGGCUGCACCAUCUACCGAGAGUGUGACCCCCAAAGAAGUGACUUCAUCUCUCGAGGACCCAGUUUCUUCAUCUCUGAACGUGGGGAAAGUGGACAAAGGGCGAUUUCUCCGAUGCCUUCCAGCCCUGGCGGCCCGGGACCGCCACCCUUCCUUCCCACUCUUCUAAGACCUUCCCCGGCUCCUCUCUUCGCAGGCCUUGCUUACACCCAGGCCGCGGGGGUUCGCCUGGACCCCUCUUCGGACUCAUCAGCGACCAAAAAGGGAAUUUUAACUCCCCGGAGUUCCCGACGUUCUGAGGACGCCUCUUCCCCGACAGGGGCGCCGGGCGGAGAGCCACACUACCCAGCAGCGGGUGUGUCCGGCGCCGCCGAGGAUGCCUCGGAGCGAGCUCAAGUCCCAGCGCCCUCUCGAGCAGGCCCGCCCUCCCCGGCGCGCGCCGCACCUGCUCCAGGGUGAGGAGAAGGAACUCCUGGGACAGCAGCUCCGGGUGCAGCAGCAGCUCGGAAUCCGUGCAGCUGCGGCCGCCCACAUCCCCCGCCAUCGUCGUCGCCAGGAGACCCCGGCCGGCUACCCACAAGGCCCCCAGCUAGCGUCUCAGAAAUGACGCGUAAGGGACGGGGCCUCGCGUAUGUCGUCACUAGGGUGCGCCGCGCGGGACGCUCGCCUCUCCGGCUCGGCUGGGAUGCUGGGCGGGUUCUCGCCAGGGGAUAAUCCUAGGGCGAGAGGAGUGAAAGGGCCGUUUGUAGUGGAAACGAUUGGCGUUUCAAGUCUGCGCGAAGAGAGAAACAGGCGAAGUUCACAGAGCGGGCCACGAUUGGUCGGUCCUGGUCGCGCCUCCUAUGACGUCAUGGGAAGAGGCCAAUGAGAGUCCGAGGGUGGCCUCGCGGGAAAGCGACUAGGGAGGACGAUGAGUGUUACAGUCAAUUCAGCAGUAGGUACCUCUGGAAGCUCUUUGGUGUUCUUUUUUUUGAGCGUUGUACCUUUUGUUUCCUAGUUCAAAACGCCUCGCAUGUAGUAGGCACUCAAAUGUUUGUUCCCGAAAUAAUACUCGGAAUGAACCCGCCUCUGAAAAUAACGGCCGCCCGAGAAGCGCAUCUUUGUUGAGCUCCCACCUCUAUGAAAUGGAAAUGAAUACCCCAACUAGGUGUCGUGAGGUUGGAGCCAAAGUAGGGACAAUCACCUAACCUGAAGCCCGAAGCUCUUCUUCAUCAGCAAAAACGUUUUACAGCAGUUGCCAAGAACGAAGCUGAGGGAAACCAACAAGCACUGUCCUGCCUGGCUGGCAUCAUCACCUCACUGGGUUAGAAGUUCCUCCAGGACAGAUCUGUAUGUUUCUUUUGACUCUCCCACCUCAUCCUGAGCACGCACCGUGUCUGCACUUGAAGGUCUCGAUAAAUGUGUUGAAUGAAUGAAUCAUGAAAAGAAUGUAUACUGAGAACUUGGGGUAUUGAUUCUUCUUGUUGGCUAUAUAAUGUUUAAGAUAUUUAUGUUUCAGAUAUUUUAUCAGAUGUGCCAACUGUAUGUCUGAGCACAAAUAAAAUUAAAAUGCUUCAUAGUGCAUAUAGCAACUGAAAAAAUAGGUCACAUUUUGCACUUAUGUUUCUAGCUACUUAGAACCACAGUUCUGAGUUUCGGAUAAUUACCUUCAGUAUCAUAAUUGAUGAUUAUGUUAUUUUAUUAUUGUCAUUUCUCAUUCCUUUUACAACCAGAUCAUAUUGAAGCUGUGCUUAUGUGCUUAGAACACUGACUUUCUUGUAAAACCCAUCUCCUCGGUCACCUCUUUGAUAAGGUCCCUGAAACCGUGUCUCUCAUCUUUGGGUUCUCAGCAGCCAGCACAGUACCUGGCACACAGGAUGAGACCAGGAAGUGUGUCCCAAGUGAGUGUGCAUAAACCUUUCCUGAUCCUCAGAUGUUAUUUUUUUGCCUUGGGAUCGUAUCCCAUUCCAUCACAGCUUCUCAAACUUGAAUGAGCAUUAGAGUCACCGGGAGAGCCUGACAAUGCUUAGCUGGGCCCUACACCCAAAGUUUCUGAUUUAAGAGGUGUGGCGUGUGGACACAAGAAUCCACAUUACUAACAAGUUCUGAAGUACUGCUGAUACUGUUGACUAUUGGCCUGUACUUUCUAAACCACUGCAUUGAAUUAAGCUUCUGGAAGACAGGGCCGGUCUUCCUCCUUUCAGGAUGGUCUGCAGCCUCUGCUAUGGUACUGAGCACACAGGAGCUGCUAAAAAAUAGGAAUAAUUAUUUGAAUAACAGUUCAACAAGUUUCUUGGCAUUCCCAUUGUGGCUCAGCGGAAAUGAAUCUGACUAGGAUCCAUGAGGGCACAGGUUUGAUCCCUGGCCUCGCUCAGUGGGUUAAGGAUCCAGCGUUGCCAUGAGCUAUGGUGUAGGUCACAGACACAGCUAGGAUCUGGCAUUGCUGUGGCUGUGGUUUAGGCCAGCAGCUACAGCUCCUAUUUGACCCCUAACCUGGGAACCUCCAUAUGCCAUGGGUGAGGCCCCAAAAAGAUUUUUAAAAAAAAUCUUUCUUUGCUUAACAUCAUUUUCUAAAAUGAUACCCAAAUGUGUAGAUGUAUACUCUUAAUAAGAGAGAUUAUAAAUUAGAGUAACAGUCUUUGCAUGAAAAGCUUCUUUUAAAGAUGACCUAGUUUAUUAAUAUUGAGCAGCAGGAAGUGUAAAAAGUGGUUAAGUGCUUCCUCUAAGCAGACAGACAGCAAGCUCAUGAUGGACACACUCAGGAGCUUAGAGCCAGCGUGGAAGUGAGGAACUUGGCGUAAGUGUGAGUAUGUGUAAGUGCAAGGAUGCUGAGUUUGGGGAGUAGACUAUAACUAUGGAAGUAUUUACUUGUAUCUGAUCAGCAGCUCUUAACCUUCAUUAGUUUAUUAGAACACAUCUUUUCCACCUUCCAACAUGUUUAGUAUGAGCCCAAGGGAUAUUUAAUAAAUGUCAAUGAUUGAAGUUAAUAUUUUUAUGAAAAAAUAUGACUUUGAUCAUUCUUAAAUGUAACCAGUCAAAACAUGAGGAAUUUAGAAUUAGCCUGAUGUCAAUCUUUGCACAUUUCUAGUUAUGUACAUACAGCGAUCAGUCAUGUGAAACAGACUUCUCAGAAAGUUCAGGAAGAAUAAAUGUUUCUACAUGGCAUAA